GCGUUGUAGCCGUUUUUGUGCAGGGUCCUGCAUGGCAGUUCAAAGGUUGGCCAUGGCUUUUGCCUGAUGGAUCACCAGUUGAUAUAUUUGCUAAAAUUAAAGCCUUCCAUCUGAAGUAUGAUGAAGUUCGUCUGGAUCCAAAUGUUCAGAAAUGGGAUGUAACAGUAUUAGAACUCAGCUAUCACAAACGUCAUUUGGAUAGACCAGUGUUCUUACGGUUUUGGGAAACAUUGGACAGGUACAUGGUAAAGCAUAAAUCGCACUUGAGAUUCUGAAUUAUUUGGCUCCUCCAUUUCUGGAAAUUGAGACUCAAGCUUUAUGAAUUUAUCAAGAACUUAAAAAUGAAGAAGGUCACAGAUUGAUCUUUUAUAAGACCUUAUUUGAUGCUUUGUGCUUCAAGGAGAUGAUACCUGUCAUCCAUAUAAGCAAACUUUUUGGCUUACAACUAUUUUUUUAAUAUUAGCCUUCUAGUCUGUAAUGGAAAUUGUAUAUUUUGAUAGAAGUUUUUUCUCCAUUGGUUAAAUUAGCAUUACUUAAAAUUUGUUUCUUUAGAAAAUAAAUGCAGGUUAUAAAUGUGUGUAUAUUUAGAGAUUAUAAGGCUCUCUGAGCCAUCUUCUGAUUUUUCAUUGCUCUAUAAUUCUUUUUACUGAAAAUACUAUGUUAUGAAUGGUAUUAAAUUUUAGUCUCUGGAACAUCCAAAACCAAGCA
rnacentral:lncRNA from 1 species